rnacentral:lncRNA from 1 species
CGCUUUUCAGAAAGUUUCCGUGCCUUUCGGUUUGUUCUUAAAAGGACCCGUUGACCACAGCGUAUUCCCGACUCGCCCUAUCAGUUAUUGGCAACUCUGAGGUUAUUUUUCAAGAGCAGCAGCUAAAUGUGGGAGGACAGGGGGACUCACGGCAAUUUGUUUACCUGAUGGCUGGACUCCCCCCUUCCUUUGAUUUAUGUUUAUAGGAAAUAUCCUUGCCUAAAUGGAAAAACACAUGAAAGAACAUUACUUCUGCUUCCUCUGCAAGCAGAGUACAUGUUUGUCAGGACCUGUGCCUUGUGACAGGUUGAGAGAGAACAUUUUGGGGAAGGGAAACUUUCUGACAACUCAUCCCCGAAAGGCAGACUCACGAUAAGACUCCCAACGGGCCCGAUCCUCACUGGGAGGAAGCGGCGCCUGACUUCAGUCAUGAUAUGCUAAUUUACAACAGAACAAUCCUGGCUGAAAAAGCAGUGCUGGACUGCCCCAAAAGAGGGUGCAAAGCAAACCGCCCAAAAUGAGUGCAGGAGACAGUCCCGGCUGCAGACCACUGACAUUUAUCAGCUCAUAAGCAAAUGUCACGAGGAGACAAAGCAAAAGGGAGGUGGUGGGACAAUAGAGUCGGUGGAGAAGCAUUUAAUACAGGCCUUUGGACAUACAGACAUAGCAAGAAUUACGUUUGCAUUUCCUAUGUAUUUCCUACGUCCUCGCUGCCCUAGCGCCAGGCGAUCCUCCUCGAGGAGGGCAGCCUGUAGGGUGCAUGGAGCGUGGCCUCAGGGGCGUCCCCUCCCAGGGUGCUCCCUGGACUGCGGGUUGCAGGCUCUGCGAGAAGGGAUGUCCCCUGAGCAGGUCUCAGUUUUCUCCCUCUGAAAUUUCCUGCAACAUGCCACUGCUUUAAGGCUACACGGGAAAGGUGAAGGGAAAUGCAUGCUUUCUCUCCCAUCUUUUAUGCUGUCCACCUGCCUUGCAUCCCCUCCUGUUCACCACUUCUUUACAGAAAAGAGAUUUCAGCAGCAUCAUAGGCUACUAACAAGAGAAGGAGCCAAUCCUGUAAACCUCCCACCUGAGGCUGAUAGAAAGCUGACAGCUUUCAGUGACAGAAGACCUAGUGAAGAGAGAGAGCAGAGUCCACCCAACUGGGCACCGCUCGUCCACCCUACCUCUGCUGCAGGCACUUGGGACCCCACUGGGCUCCAGGCCACUUCCCCCAGAGGUCAGUGCAGACCAGCAGAGAUGGAUGGACAGCCAGACAUGGAGCCGAAAAGGCAAGAGCAUCAGAUGGAUCUCGAAAGGGAACCUGCAGAAGAUGAGUGGAAGAGCUGGCAGAGAGGCCAGAUGAGGAGGAACACGCUGCACCUCGUGUCUGCUGCUGCUCAGUGGAUAUUACUGCUCGUCUGCUUGAUCUACCUGGGCAUAGAUGUUCUGCAGCCCUCAACGGCAGGCAGAUAUGUCAGAAAGAAAGCUAACUUGCGACAACCCUAGCAAGACCCCUG